CCUACGGGAGGCAGCAGUGAGGAAUAUUGGUCAAUGGGCUUACGCCUGAACCAGCCAAGUCGCGUGAGGGAAGACUGCCCUAUGGGUUGUAAACCUCUUUUGUCAGGGAGCAAUUGGCGCUACGUGUAGCGUUAUCGAGAGUAACUGAAGAACAAGCAUCGGCUAACUCCGUGCCAGGAGCCGCGGUAAUACGGGGGAUGCGAGCGUGAUCCGGAUUUAUUGGGGUUGAAGGAGGCGUAGGCGGAAUGCCAAGUCAGCGGGAAAAGUGCGGGGCCCAACCUCGCUCCGCCGUUGAAAAUGGCGUUCUUGAGUGGGCGAGAGGUAUGCGGAAUGCGUGGUGUAGCGGUGAAAUGCAUAGAUAUCACGCAGAACUCCGGUUGCGAAGGCAGCAUACCGGCGCCCAACUGACGCUGAAGCACGAAAGCGUGGGUAUCGAACAGGAUUAGAUACCCUUGUAGUC
rnacentral:rRNA from 1 species